UACGUAGGGGCUUAGCGUUGUCCGGAUUUAUUGGGCGUAAAGAGCUCGUAGGCGGUUCGGCAAGUCGGAUGUGAAAUCUCCACGCUCAACGUGGAGGGGCCAUUCGAAACUGCCGUGACUCGAGUCCGGUAGGGGAGUGUGGAAUUCCCGGUGUAGCGGUGAAAUGCUUAGAUAUGACAUAGAACACCAAUUGCGAAGGCAGCUUACUACACAAUGAUUGACGCUGAGGCACGAAAGCGUGGGGAGCAAACAGG
rnacentral:rRNA from 1 species